GGAACAUCUCCAGAUCAAGUCAUGACACCUCACUGCCCAGGGUGACAGUAUUUUAUGAUGAAAAUAUCCCAGAAAGAAGUAGAAGCAUUAUGAAGCACCUAGUGGACCCCGUGCUGGGACUUCUGUUGGCCCAGAUUUGCUGUGUGAGAGGGGUAGACGUGGAGCAGAGUCCCCCAGCCCUGAGUCUCCAGGAGGGAGCCAGCUCCACACUCUGGUGCAAUUUUUCCACCACUCUGGUGAGCAAUGUGCAGUGGUAUCGUCAGAAGAGUGGGGGCCGCCUCGACCACUUGUUCUUCAUUCCUUCAGGGACCAAGCAGAAUGGACGAUUAAACGCCACGACAGUUGCUAAAGAACGCCGCAGCUUGCUGUACAUUUCCUUUGCCCAGAUCACAGACUCAGCCACGUACCUCUGUGCUGGGGAGCACAGCACUCCCCAGGCACCUGCAGCCUGUACAGGAACCCGCCAGCCACAGUCCUACCACAGGGCAUUCACAUUGCUCAUUCUUCCUCACCUACACUGGUACAGUUUUAACACUGACACUUCUUGGACUACAGAUUUGGGACUUUGGUCUUUUACUCCCUUCCCAAUCUGUAUCUCCUUCUGCUCUAGAAACUUCUUACUUGAAACUUCCAGAGUACCUGAUAAAAAUACAGAAGUAAAGUGA